rnacentral:rRNA from 1 species
AGUGAACGCUGGCGGCGUGCUUAACACAUGCAAGUCGAACAAGAGCGGAUUAUAGCUUGCUAUAAUUGUCAGCUAAGUGGCGCACGGGUGAGUAAUGUAUAGGUAAUAUGCCUCUUACUAAGGGAUAACAAAUGGAAACGUUUGCUAAUACCUUAUACUCCUUAUUAACAGAAGUUAAUAAGGGAAAGAUUUAUUGGUAAGAGAUUAGCCUGUAUUGUAUCAGUUAGUUGGUGGGGUAAUGGCUUACCAAGACUAUGACACAUAACUGGUUUGAGAGGAUGAUCAGUCACACUGGAACUGAGACACGGUCCAGACUCCUACGGGAGGCAGCAGUGGGGAAUAUUGCACAAUGGACGAAAGUCUGAUGCAGCAACGCCGCGUGGAGGAUGACACAUUUCGGUGCGUAAACUCCUUUUAUAUGAGAAGAUAAUGACGGUAUUAUAUGAAUAAGCACCGGCUAACUCCGUGCCAGCCGCCGCGGUAA